rnacentral:piRNA from 1 species
UGAUGAUUCUGGAGCUCAUGGUGGUUGU